rnacentral:rRNA from 1 species
CCCAGACUCCUACGGGAGGCAGCAGUGGGGGAUAUUGCACAAUGGGGGGAACCCUGAUGCAGCGACGCCGCGUGGGUGAAGGAGCGUUUCGGCGCGUAAAGCCCUCCCGGCAGGGAAGAAGGAGGACGGUACCUGACUAAGAAGCCCCGGCUAACUACGUGCCAGCAGCCGCGGUAAUACGUAGGGGGCAAGCGUUAUCCGGAUUUACUGGGUGUAAAGGGGGCGCAGACGGCAGCGCAAGCCAGGAGUGAAAGCCCGGGGCCCAACCCCGGGACUGCUCUUGGAACUGCGCGGCUGGAGUGCAGGAGGGGCAGGCGGAAUUCCUGGUGUAGCGGUGAAAUGCGUAGAUAUCAGGAGGAACACCGGUGGCGAAGGCGGCCUGCUGGACUGCGACUGACGUUGAGGCCCGAAAGCGUGGGGAGCAAACAGGAUUAGAUACCCCUGUAUC